ensembl:snRNA LOC120094538 U4 spliceosomal RNA
AGCUUUGCGCAGUGGCAGUAUCGUAGCCAAUGAGGUUUAUCUGAGGCGCGAUUAUUGCUAAUUGAACACUUGAAUGAUAUAAAGUCAUAGGAGACAGGGAAGCCCACUGGCCUCAAUGUUUCUGAGGCAUUGAGUUUAGGAAUGUCUCUUCUGCAAGGGGACUUUAUUGAUAGGC